CCUGGGGAAGGUUGUGUUUUAGAGAUCUCUCCUCUUGGAGUCUUCUCAGCAAGCCCAGGAUAAGGGAGACAAGAAGUUGUAUAUUGACUCUGCUCUGGGACAGGGAGUAUGCUGUCAACAAAUGAGUGAAGUGUAAGAGUACUGCUCCAGAAGCACAACCUUUUUCCUGCAACUGCCAAGUGUUUAUCCUGGAUCAGAUUAGUGGCCUGUCAAGCAGCAACAGUCUUCCAAAAACAAGUAAUACUGAAAUGGAAAGACCUUGAAAUGUGCAUUAUUUUGCAAGACUUCAUAUCACACUUGAAACUGCUAUUUUCUGUUAAGGGCUUUGCCAUAUCAUCAGUGACUUUCCUGUCCUAAAUUGAAUUUCUAAUGUCAUAAGAAAGGUACUAAUGUGAUAAAAGUCAUAUAAUGUUUGCAAUUUUCAAUCAUGUUGGUGAAGUGAAUUUUUAUUGUAUUAACAAAAACAGAAUUCCAAAUUACCAUAGCAACUGACCAAAAUUACAAUAAAAAUUUUAUCAAUUGAGAACUCUCUGUGGAUAGCUAAUUCCCUGUGGCUACUCUUUCUCCACCUCUUUUUUUUUUUAUUAUUAUUUUCUUCAGAAGAACAUAUUUCUGUCUCUUAUUGCUGAGGUAAAAUUGUCCAUGCCUUCUGGAGUAUUAUCUAUAUAUGUAUAUAUAUCUGUAUCUUUUCAGUCAGUCAAAUGUAUCUCUCAAAGAAUCUUUAAGCUAGUAUUCUAAUGAAUAAGUCAUUUACAAGUCCUAGGAAAGUAGAGAUGGUUAAAAAACAACAAUCAAUCAAAUAACAAAAAAACAAACUUGCAACAAAAUUGUCAAGUUAAUGAAUUAAUAGUAAUCUAUAAAAUAUGACCUACUCUCUAAAAGUUUGCUCUGUUUCAAGUCUUGUAUGGAUGGAAAUAUUUUACUUGUGGCAAGCAGAACUGCCUGACAUUACAUGAGGUUUAGUUUAAGAUGUAAACAACAUAUUGGUUAUUUGUGUGAGAAAUAAGGAAAAAUUUCUCUUUGUAGUAACACUGAAGGAAAUAACCAAGGAACAAAAUGUCAUGUGUUUUUUGCAGCAUAAUUAUUCAGCAACUAUUCAUCUGUGAUUGAUGUGUAACACUGCCGAUCUUAUUAAGAUCUUAUAAUCCAAAAAAUCCAGCUGGCCAAUAAAGGAAAGUUUGAUUCAAGUGUUUUCUUGUUUGAGUUGUGCAUCAUAGUCUGCUGUAAAUAUUGUGUUGCUCACUCACUCUUCUGCAUACAGAACUUUAUUUUGAAAUAGAGAAUGGCUGGUGAAGUGGCUUGUUUAUCAAAUAGCAUUCUAUUCUUAUUUCCAAAUCUUGUUUUCAUUUACCUAGACAAAGUCAAUAUCAAGGGAAUACAUUUGUGUUCGUGGAGCUCCAUGUGAGCAAACAUAUGGGCAAUACAUGCUGUAUUAAUAUAC